AUUGAACGCUGGCGGCAGGCCUAACACAUGCAAGUCGAGCGAGCGGCGGACGGGUGAGUAAUGUAUGGGGACUGCCCGAUAGAGGGGGAUAACUACUGGAAACGGUGGCUAAUACCGCAUACUAUCGGAUAACCCAUAGGGGAUUAGCUAUUAGGUGGGGUAAAGGCUCACCUAGGCGACGAUCUCUAGAUGGUGUGAGAGGAUGAUCAGCCACACUGGGACGGAGACACGGCCCAGACUGCUACGGAGGCAGCAGUGGUGAAUUGUGCAAAAUGGGCGCAAGCCGGAUGCAGCCAGGCCGCGUGUAUGAAGAAGGCCUUAGGGUUGUAAAGUACGUUCAGCGGGGAGGCGUUACCCGCAGAAGAAGCACCGGCUAACUCCGUGCCAGCAGCCGCGGUAAUUC
rnacentral:rRNA from 1 species